rnacentral:rRNA from 1 species
UACAGAGGUCUCAAGCGUUGUUCGGAUUCAUUGGGCGUAAAGGGUGCGUAGGCGGCGCGGUAAGUCGGGUGUGAAAUCUCGGAGCUUAACUCCGAAACUGCAUUCGAUACUGCCGUGCUUGAGGACUGGAGAGGAGACUGGAAUUUACGGUGUAGCGGUGAAAUGCGUAGAUAUCGUAAGGAAGACCAGUGGCGAAGGCGGGUCUCUGGACAGUUCCUGAAGCUGAGGCACGAAGGUCAGGGGAGCAAACGGG